GACGGAGGAUGCAAGUGUUAUCCGGAAUCACUGGGCGUAAAGCGUCUGUAGGUGGUUCGAAAAGUCCACUGUUAAAAAUUGAGGCUUAACUUCAAAGAUGCCGUGGAAACUUUCAAACUAGAGUAUGGUAGGGGUAGAGGGAAUUUCCAGUGGAGCGGUGAAAUGCGUAGAGAUCGGGAGGAACACCAGAGGCGAAGGCGGCGACCUGGACAAGUACUGACACUCAACUACGAAAGCGUGGGGAGCAAACAGG
rnacentral:rRNA from 1 species